GACAUGGGGGUACUUAAAGAAGGUCACACGUAUGUACAUUCGGUGAUAUUAAGGAACAUUGGUAUUGAUAUCUGUAGAUUCAAAGUACGACAACCUCCUCCAUCGACUGGUAUCAAAGUUUUGUUUAAUCAUGGUCCUUGAAUUUUGACUACCAUUUACGGUGUUCAAAGCGUGUAUUGUUCAUGGUCAGCGAGGGAAUAAAGAAAAGAAUAAAGCUAUUUAAUUGUGAA